GUCGAGUGCGCGUGCCGUAGCAAUACGGUAUGGCGCACGGCGCACGGGUGCGUAACACGUGGGCAAUCUGCCCUCCGGUGGGGAAUAACCCCGCGAAAGCGGGGCUAAUUCCGCAUAACAUUCCCUGGACUCUGGUUCGGGGAUUCAAAGCAGCAAUGCGCCGGAGGAGGAGCCCGCGCCCGAUUAGCUAGUUGGUGAGGUGACGGCUCACCAAGGCAAUGAUCGGUAGCUGGUCUGAGAGGAUGGCCAGCCACACUGGAACUGAGACACGGUCCAGACUCCUACGGGAGGCAGCAGUGGGGAAUCUUGCGCAAUGGGCGAAAGCCUGACGCAGCGACGCCGCGUGGGGGAUGAAGCUUCUCGGAGUGUAAACCCCUUUCGACCGGGACGAAUGCCCGCAAGGGAGUGACGGUACCGGUAGAAGAAGCCCCGGCUAACUACGUGCCAGCAGCCGCGGUAAGACGUAGGGGGCCAGCGUUGUUCGGAAUUACUGGGUGUAAAGGGUUCGUAGGCGGUGUGGCAAGUCGGGAGUGAAAUUUCUGGGCUUAACCCAGAAGCUGCUUCCGAAACUGCUGUGCUAGAGUGCGGGAGAGGCGCGUGGAAUUGCAGGUGUAGCGGUGAAAUGCGUAGAUAUCUGCAGGAACACCCGUGGCGAAAGCGGCGCGCUGGACCGUUACUGACGCUGAGGAACGAAAGCUAGGGGAGCAAACAGGAUUAGAUACCCUG
rnacentral:rRNA from 1 species